CAGCCGCCGCGGUAAUACGAAGGGGGCUAGCGUUGCUCGGAAUGACUGGGCGUAAAGGGCGCGUAGGCGGCGAUCAAAGUCAGGCGUGAAAUUCCUGGGCUCAACUUGGGGGCUGCGUUUGAUACUUGAUUGCUAGAGUGGGGAAGAGGGUCGUGGAAUUCCCAGUGUAGAGGUGAAAUUCGUAGAUAUUGGGAAGAACACCGGUGGCGAAGGCGGCGACCUGGUCCUUGACUGACGCUGAGGCGCGAAAGCGUGGGGAGCAAACAGGAUUAGAUACCCCCGUAGUCCCUGUCUCUUAUAC
rnacentral:rRNA from 1 species